CUUUCUUUCAGCUAACUCUUCUCUUUAGCAACAGUUCAGGAUGCACAUUCUUGGGAACACUACUAAACUUAGUGCACUGCUGACAUAUACUGUACACUGGAUGCAUCUUGUUUACAAGCAGAGGAAUAGCUUCAUUUACUUAAAGCAUGGGUCUCAAACUCAAUUCCUGGAGAGCCGCAGCUCUGCAUAGUUUUGCUCCAACCCUAUUCAAACAGAGCUGAGUUUAAGACUUACGCUUAAAGUCUUCAGCAUGUUGGUACAGUACAUAAAUUACUCUGAAGUUCUCCAAAGAGAGGAUGACUUGAUUUUUUUUGUCUAGCCUUGUUUAUUCAAAUCAGAACAUACAGAAUCUAGCAAUAGACAUCAGCAACUUUAGAUUAGGUGUUUUUUUAUUUAUUUAUUUAUUUAUUUUAGCUCACAAAAGAAUUUGUAACUUUACAAAUGAACCGCUGAAGACACAUACUGUUUUGAGAAUGUUUUUGGUUUCUGGACCCUUGCUGACAAUGAAGGAACAGAGAGUGUCAGGAUUUCUGAUCAAGAUGUUUAACGAGAAGUAAUAGUCAAUUGAUUCUAGAGGUUGAUCACAUGCCUAGUGUCUGCAACUUUUUUUAAGGUCCUUAAUGUAUUUGAUUUCAGUUUCAAGAUCCAUAUAUCUUCAUGUGUUGACUGUGGUGCCAAUCUUUGUAGCUGGCCUACUAAUACUUGGAGUGGUUAUAUGGUUUAAUGCACACAAAAGAUGUCAAAAAAGCAAACCAUAGAAAACUGGACAUCAAAGAAGGGCAACUACAGUUUUACACUUAUCAACAACAACGGAAACAAGGGCUCCCAUAACUUAUGUGCCACUCCCGAAUAACUAUAGCAUAAUUAAAACCAGCCAUAAGAUUGAUUCAACAAUCAUAAGCCGGUCUUAAGCCCGGGUAAAUGGUGAGGGGAAAAAUUCAAUUUUAAAGUAAUUUACAUAAAUUGUUAACUUUGCGAAAUCAUUUGGCACUAAUGUCCACACGUACACAAGAAUUUUAUAAACAUUUUUCAACUUAAUUUAAAAGAUAAAAACUACACAAGGGCGACGCAGUAGGUAGUGCUGUCGCCUCACAGCAAGAAGGUCGCUGGUUCGAGCCCCAGCGGGGUCAGUUGGCAUUUCUGUGUGGUGUCAUGUUCUCCCCGUGUUGGAGUGGGUUUCCUCCGGGUGCUGAAUUGGGUAAGCUAAAAUUGUCCGUAGUGUAUGUGUGUGAAUGAGAGUGUGUGGAUGUUUCCCAGAGAUGGGUUGCAGCUGGAAGGGCAUGCGCUGCGUAAAACAUGUGCUAGAUAAGUUGGUGGUUCAUUCCGCUGUUGUGACCCCAGAUUAAUAAAGGGACUAAGCCGAAAAGAAAAUGAAUGAAUGAAUAAAAACUAGACAAGCAAAGUUUAACAAAAUUUCCAUCCCAAUGAAACUGCAAAAAUAAAGUGCAAAAAAAGUGCCCUUUAAGGCACUGUCAAGCGCAUUACAAGCCAUCUGGUGGCGAUAAAGUCCUAGCCAUAGUUGUGUAGGCCAAUCAGAUACGAUUCAGGUACAGUACUUUGACUAUGGGGAACUUUAAAAAGAACUUCAAGGCAUGGAGCUUAGAAAAGCACCAGGAAUUUACGGUCCACUGAGCCACUUUUAUACAGCUUUUGUUUCGAGAUUGGAGAGAGUUUGCUGGAGGUACUGAAUGAUUUUGAUGAGUUGCUGCAAAGCAGUUCUGACUCUCCUACCCAAAAACAGCGAUGUGACGGAUAUCAAAUGCUGGGGACCAGUCUCCCUCCUGUGUAGUAAUGGGACACCAAUGCACGCCUCACACCAGUGCCGAUAUACAGCCACAUUGCACUGCUACUAAUGUGAUAUUGCGUUUAUACAACAGUUCGACACCAUAAUCAUGUGUAUA